AGGUUACCAAAUGCAUAUUAACUGCAUUAAGUAUAAAUUCAAGACACAUAAGGGCUCUAACCAUAUUUCGACUUGUGAUCAAUCCAUAGAUACCGAUAGAAAAUAAAAAGGCACUCAACACAAGGGCAUGCUCGAGCAUCAUUCAAAAACUCCUUAUCAUUAUCAAUCUUGACUUUUUUCAAUAAGAAAAAACAAUUCAACCGAUUCGAUUGACUACUGUAUAACAAAUAUGUAACAACAAAAUCUAGCGGUAAUAGAUUGACUCUCACGCUAU